rnacentral:rRNA from 1 species
AGUGAACGCUGGCGGUAGGCCUAACACAUGCAAGUCGAACGGCAGCACAGUAAGAGCUUGCUCUUACGGGUGGCGAGUGGCGGACGGGUGAGGAAUACAUCGGAAUCUACUUUUUCGUGGGGGAUAACGUAGGGAAACUUACGCUAAUACCGCAUACUACCUACGGGUGAAAGCAGGGGAUCUUCGGACCUUGCGCUAGUGAAUGAGCCGAUGUCGGAUUAGCUAGUUGGCGGGGUAAAGGCCCACCAAGGCGACGAUCCGUAGCUGGUCUGAGAGGAUGAUCAGCCACACUGGAACUGAGACACGGUCCAGACUCCUACGGGAGGCAGCAGUGGGGAAUAUUGGACAAUGGGCGCAAGCCUGAUCCAGCCAUACCGCGUGGGUGAAGAAGGCCUUCGGGUUGUAAAGCCCUUUUGUUGGGAAAGAAAAGCAGCAGGUUAAUACCCCGCUGUUCUGACGGUACCCAAAGAAUAAGCACCGGCUAACUUCGUG